UCCCAGACUCCUACGGGAGGCAGCAGUGGGGAAUAUUGCACAAUGGGGGAAACCCUGAUGCAGCAACGCCGCGUGAGUGAAGAAGUAUUUCGGUAUGUAAAGCUCUAUCAGCAGGGAAGAAGAUGACGGUACCUGAUUAAGAAGCCCCGGCUAACUACGUGCCAGCAGCCGCGGUAAUACGUAGGGGGCAAGCGUUAUCCGGAUUUACUGGGUGUAAAGGGAGCGCAGACGGCAGUGCAAGUCUGGAGUGAAAGCCCGGGGCCCAACCCCGGAACUGCUCUGGAAACUGUGCGGCUAGAGUACUGGAGGGGCAGGCGGAAUUCCUAGUGUAGCGGUGAAAUGCGUAGAUAUUAGGAGGAACACCAGUGGCGAAGGCGACUUUCUGGACUGUACCUGACGCUGAGGCGCGAAAGCGUGGGUAGCGAACGGGAUUAGAUACCCGGGUA
rnacentral:rRNA from 1 species